CUACGUAGCUCAGAGUUUGAUCCUGGCUCAGAACGAACGCUGGCGGCGCGUCUUAAGCAUGCAAGUCGAACGGCAAGAUUGGUGCUUGCACCGAUCCUAGAGUGGCGGACUGGUGAGUAACGCGUGGGUGACGUACCCUAAGGAUGGGGAUAGCUGGUAGAAAUAUCAGAUAAUACCGAAUAUCCUUAUUGUUGUUAGAGGACAGUAAGGAAAGGAGCUUUGGCUUCGCCUAAGGAUCGGCCCGCGUACUAUUAGCUAGUUGGUGAGGUAACGGCUCACCAAGGCGACGAUAGUUAUCCGGCCUAAGAGGGUGAACGGACACAUUGGGACUGAGAUACGGCCCAG
rnacentral:rRNA from 1 species